AUCUUGUACAACAACUGCAAGACAAAUAACAGGAUCUUCUGCUAAUGUUUUAUGUCCAGCUGACUGUGUUAAAAAUGGAGGAAGUAUUUGGGGAACAAAUGUCUAUACAGAUGAUUCUUCCAUUUGCCCAGCGGCUAUCCAUGCUGGCAUUAUAACCAAUGCUG